UACGAAGGGGACUAGCGUUGUUCGGAAUCACUGGGCGUAAAGCGCACGUAGGCGGAUUCGUAAGUCAGGGGUGAAAUCCCGGGGCUCAACCUCGGAACUGCCUUUGAUACUGCGGGUCUUGAGUCCGAUAGAGGUGGGUGGAAUUCCUAGUGUAGAGGUGAAAUUCGUAGAUAUUAGGAAGAAUACCUGUGGCGCAAGCGCCCACCUGGCCGAGACCUGACGCUGAGGCACGAAAGCGUGGGGAGCGAACCGG
rnacentral:rRNA from 1 species